UGCGCCUUGCCAGCCCGCUCAGAAACUCAAAGGAAUUGACGGGACCCCGCACAAGCGGUGGAUCAUGUUGUUUAAUUCGAUGAUACGCGAAGAACCUUACCAGGUCUUGACAUCCCCGCGAUGCUUUAGAGAUAAAGCGGAGGUAUUCGGGGAGACAGGUGGUGCAUGGCUGUCGUCAGCUCGUGUCGUGAGAUGUUGGGUUAAGUCCCGCAACGAGCGCAACCCUUGCCUUUAGUUGCCAGCAGUUCGGCUGGGCACUCUAAAGGGACUGCCGGUGUUAAACCGGAGGAAGGUGGGGAUGACGUCAAGUCCUCAUGGCCUUUAUGACCAGGGCUACACACGUACUACAAUGGCCGAUACAAAGGGCAGCGACACUGCGAGGUGAAGCCAAUCCCGUAAAAUCGGUCUCAGUCCGGAUUGGAGUCUGCAACUCGACUCCAUGAAGUUGGAAUCGCUAGUAAUCGUGGAUCAGCAUGCCACGGUGAAUACGUUCCCGGGCCUU
rnacentral:rRNA from 1 species